AGAGUUUGAUCCUGGCUCAGGAUGAACGCUGGCGGCGUGCUUAACACAUGCAAGUCGAACGAAGCACCUUGAUUUGAUUCUUCGGAUGAAGAUCUUGGUGACUGAGUGGCGGACGGGUGAGUAACGCGUGGGUAACCUGCCUCAUACAGGGGGAUAACAGUUAGAAAUGACUGCUAAUACCGCAUAAGACCACAGCACCGCAUGGUGCAGGGGUAAAAACUCCGGUGGUAUGAGAUGGACCCGCGUCUGAUUAGGUAGUUGGUGGGGUAACGGCCUACCAAGCCGACGAUCAGUAGCCGACCUGAGAGGGUGACCGGCCACAUUGGGACUGAGACACGGCCCAAACUCCUACGGGAGGCAGCAGUGGGGAAUAUUGCACAAUGGGGGAAACCCUGAUGCAGCGACGCCGCGUGAGCGAUGAAGUAUUUCGGUAUGUAAAGCUCUAUCAGCAGGGAAGAAAAUGACGGUACCUGACUAAGAAGCACCGGCUAAAUACGUGCCAGCAGCCGCGGUAAUACGUAUGGUGCAAGCGUUAUCCGGAUUUACUGGGUGUAAAGGGAGCGUAGACGGAGUGGCAAGUCUGAUGUGAAAACCCGGGGCUCAACCCCGGGACUGCAUUGGAAACUGUCAAUCUAGAGUACCGGAGAGGUAAGCGGAAUUCCUAGUGUAGCGGUGAAAUGCGUAGAUAUUAGGAGGAACACCAGUGGCGAAGGCGGCUUACUGGACGGUAACUGACGUUGAGGCUCGAAAGCGUGGGGAGCAACAGGAUUAGAUACCCUGGUAGUCCACGCCGUAAACGAUGACUACUAGGUGUCGGGCAGCAAAGCUGUUCGGUGCCGCAGCAAACGCAAUAAGUAGUCCACCUGGGGAGUACGUUCGCAAGAAUGAAACUCAAAGGAAUUGACGGGGACCCGCACAAGCGGUGGAGCAUGUGGUUUAAUUCGAAGCAACGCGAAGAACCUUACCUGCUCUUGACAUCUCCCUGACCGGCAAGUAAUGUUGCCUUUCCUUCGGGACAGGGAUGACAGGUGGUGCAUGGUUGUCGUCAGCUCGUGUCGUGAGAUGUUGGGUUAAGUCCCGCAACGAGCGCAACCCCUAUCUUUAGUAGCCAGCGGUCAGGCCGGGCACUCUAGAGAGACUGCCAGGGAUAACCUGGAGGAAGGUGGGGAUGACGUCAAAUCAUCAUGCCCCUUAUGAGCAGGGCUACACACGUGCUACGAUGGCGUGAACAAAGGGAGGCAGAACCGCGAGGUCGAGCAAAUCCCAAAAAUAACGUCUCAGUUCGGAUUGUAGUCUGCAACUCGACUACAUGAAGCUGGAAUCGCUAGUAAUCGCGAAUCAGAAUGUCGCGGUGAAUACGUUCCCNGGGUCUUGUACACACCGCCCGUC
rnacentral:rRNA from 1 species